rnacentral:rRNA from 1 species
AUUCCGGUUGAUCCUGCCGGAGAUCACUGUUAUCAGGGUUCGAUUAAGCCAUGCGAGGCGAGAGGUGAAAGACCUCGCCGAACUGCUCAGUAACACGUAGCUAACCUAAUCUUAGAUGGAGGAUAAUCUUGCGAAAGUGAGGCUAAUACUCCAUAGUUGUCGAAUACUGGAAUGUAUCAACAAUAAAAGCUUCGGCGUCUAAGAAUGGGGCUGCGGCGUAUCAAGCUGUUGUGAGUUUAAACUACUCACAAACUUAUAACGCGUAGGGGCCAUGAAAGUGGGAGCCUCGAGAUGCCUUCUGAGACAUGAAGGCAGGUCCUACGGGACGCAGCAGGCGCGAAAACUUUCCAAUUCAUUAGCGUGUGAGAAGGGAACCCUGAGUGAUUAUGCACAGCAUAAUCUUUUCUUUAGUCCAAAAAGCUAGAGGAAUAAGUGGUGGGCAAGACAGGUGCCAGCCGCCGCGGUAAUACCUGCGCCACAAAUGGUGAUCACGAUUAUUGGGUCUAAAGCGUCCGUAGCUGGUUUAUCAAGUUCCUGGUGAAAUCUGGCAGCAAACUGUCAGGCAUGCUGGGAAAACUGCUAAACUUGAGAUCGGGAGGGGGUGGGGGUAUUCUGUGAGUAGGGGUUAAAUCCUUUAAUCCACGGAGGACCACCGGUGGCGAAGGCGCCCACCUGGAACGAGUCUGACAGUGAGGGACGAAAGCGUGGGGAGCAAAACGGAUUAGAUACCCGUGUAGUCCACGCUGUAAACGUUGUCCGCUUGUCGUCACGAACUCUACGUGAGUUUGUGGUGACGGAGCGUAGGUGUUAAGCGGACCACCUGGGGAGUACGGCCGCAAGGUUGAAAUAGUAGAAGUUCCAUUAAUCAUUUAUAUGAAAAUAAAACCUGAUUUGGCAUAUCUUGUUGGUGCUUUGAGAGAUGGCAGCGUCUUCUAUGAAAAAUCAAGCCGCAAUUAUAUCGCAGUUUGGUAUGAGGAAGAUAAACGAUGGUUGAAAGAAUCCAUUUCUAAACGUUUAAAUAAAUUGUUUGGAAAACCUGGAUGGUUGUUAAAAUAUAAACAAAAACAUCAUCGUAUUAGAUUUUCAUCAAAGCUGGUGCAUAAUAUGUUAAUUAAUGAGUUUGAUUUUAUAUCACCGCAAAAAUAUUGGUCUACACCAAAAAUAAUCAAGCAUGCAAAUAAAGAUAUCAUAAAAAAUUAUAUUGCUGGAUUUUUUGAUGCUGAGGGUGAUAUAAGUAUAAAAGACAAAUCUCUUGGAUUUAGUCAAAAGAAUAAAGAAUCCUUGAAAUUUAUUCGUAAUUGGCUAAUAAAUAACAAAAUAGAAUGUAGCAAAAUUUUUAUUGCCGAUAAAAAAUCAGAAACAAACAGGUUUUAUAUUUCUAAAAUAAAUAAUCUUUUAAUAUUUAGGAGGCUCAUACCAUUUGAGCAUCCAGAUAAAUUACAUUUAUUGGAGCUUCUAUUACAACGAACUUAAGGGAAUUGGCGGGGGAACACACAAGAGGUGGAGACUGCGGUUUAAUCGGAUUCGACGCCGAAAAUCUUACCAAGGUUGACAGCAGAAUGAAGGUCAGGCUAAAGGUCUUACCAGACACGCUGAGAGGUGUUGCAUGGCCAUCGUCAGCUCGUACCUUGAGGCGUGCCGUUAAGUCGGUUAACGAGCGAGACCCACGCCAUCAUUUGCUACCACAUUUUAUCUUUGGAGUAAUCCGAAAUCAAAAAUGUGAGCACUAUGUUGGGACCGCUGCUGAUAAAGCAGAGGAAGGAGUGGGCAACGAUAGGUCCGUAUGGCCCGGAUACCUUGGGCUACACGCGGUCUACAAUGACUAGGACAAUGCGAUGCAACUCCGAAAGGAGAAGCUAAUCGCCUAAACCUAGCCUCAGUUCAGAUUGAGGGCUGUAACUCGCCCUCAUGAAGCCGAAAUCUCUAGUAAGCGAGCGUCAUAAAGACAGAAAGUUCAUUAAAUCUAUAAAUAGUAGUUACCGAUAUAUUUAU